rnacentral:rRNA from 1 species
AGAGUUUGAUCAUGGCUCAGAUUGAACGCUGGCGGUAUGCCUAACACAUGCAAGUCGAACGAGGUAGCAAUACCUAGUGGCGGACGGGUGAGGAAUACGUAUGCAAUCUACCUUUAACCGGUGAAUAGCCCGAAGAAAUUCGGAUUAAUACACCAUAGUAUAUUUAAGUGGCAUCACUUGAUUAUUAAAACUCCGGUGGUUAAAGAUGAGCAUGCGUGACAUUAGCUAGUUGAUGAGGUAAUGGCUCACCAAGGCUACGAUGUCUAGGGGAUCUGAGAGGAUUAACCCCCACACUGGUACUGAGACACGGACCAGACUCCUACGGGAGGCAGCAGUAAGGAAUAUUGGACAAUGGUCGCAAGGCUGAUCCAGCCAUGCCGCGUGAAGGAUGAAGGCCCUAUGGGUUGUAAACUUCUUUUGUACGGGAAAAAACCCUUUUACGUGUAGAAGGCUGAUGGUACCGUAAGAAUAAGGAUCGGCUAACUCCGUG